rnacentral:rRNA from 1 species
UACCUAGGGUGCAAGCGUUAAUCGGAAUUACUGGGCGUAAAGCGUGCGCAGGCGGUUUUGUAAGUCUGUCGUGAAAUCCCCGGGCUCAACCUGGGAAUUGCGAUGGAGACUGCAAGGCUAGAAUCUGGCAGAGGGGGGUAGAAUUCCACGUGUAGCAGCGAAAUGCGUAGAGAUGUGGAGGAACACCGAUGGCGAAGGCAGCCCCCUGGGUCAAGAUUGACGCUCAUGCACGAAAGCGUGGGGAGCAAACAGG